CGACGAACAAGCAAAGAGAAAAGCUCUACUGCAUAACAAAAUUAUAGAGGGUUUAAGAGGAUUUGCGACUUGCGAGCGAAGGAGAUAUUUUAGAUUUGCCCGGUCUGAUUGACCCGACCCCGUAAGCACAAAUUCGUUAGGGUGAAUGAAAUUGGUCUAAGUUGUUAGUUAAUAUACGAAUCCAUCUACUUCAUAACGACCAGCGCUGCAAACAGGCAUAGGUGCAUAGAUUGGCAUGAGAAUAAGAAAAUUAAUGAACUCCAUUUAAAAAUACAGUAGAAAAUAAAACAAAGAGAUUCCUUAAAAGCUCCCAGGCCCCACAUUUCAAAUUAAUAAUCAGGCCGUCAUAACGCAUUAGUUUUUGAAAAUUGUAUCCAUACCACAGAAAAAAAGAACUUCAUGAAGUCCAAUUAACAUUUUGUCCAUCUACUUCAUAACGACCAGCGCUGCAAACAGGCAUAGGUGCAUAGAUUGGCAUGAGAAUAAGAAAAUUAAUGAACUCCAUUUAAAAAUACAGUAGAAAAUAAAACAAAGAGAUUCCUUAAAAGCUCCCAGGCCCCACAUUUCAAAUUAAUAAUCAGGCCGUCAUAACGCAUUAGUUUUUGAAAAUUGUAUCCAUACCACAGUAAAAAAGAACUUCAUGAAGUCCGAUUAACAUUUUGUCACUAAGAGCACAAGGUGAUAUAGAUCCAACUUAUAAAGGAAGGACAAGAUAAAAGACAGGUUUGUAACAGUAGCAUAGCCAACAGAGAUGGUUGUGAAAAAAGCACUUCCCACCCUCAUGCAACUGUCAGCCCUUUCUGUUGAUUAAUUAAAUAGGCAAUAUAUACUUGAAGGUGACAGGACAAUUAUCGACAAAAGUAUUAUUUUCUUACACAAAAUGUCAAUAUAGAAAAAAGUAAGAGUCUAUUUUAGCAGCCGUUAAACUGGGUACAGUUGGGCAGUUCAAACACAUAAAAAGACUGAAUGGUAAAUAAAUGUUAUGUACCUAUAAUGUGCCAAGUUGUUAUGAAUAUAAUGGUAAUUAAGAUCCUCUGUAAUGUGCCAAAAGUGUCCAUAUAUAAGAAAUUCAGAUGUUUCUAUUUGGUGUAUAUUCAUAAGUUCAUAGUGUUUACGGUACAUCCAAAUUUGGCUCCGUAGGAGUUACACGUUGCUUGUACUUUGAUGGUCAUGAUCAUAUGAUUUGAAACGAAUAAUAGUUUCUUUUAACAUAAUGGGUGUGCAAAUAUCAACACCACCCGAUAUGCCUCAAAAUGAAAAGUUACAGAAAACAAUAAUCUUUGGACAAUAUUUUGAAUUCAGACAUCCUCUGGAAGGAAUAAUAAUCAGCACCAUAAUACAAUCCAACAUGAUUCUUUAGUCAAAAAGAAGCUACCAUCGCAAUCAAAUCUACACUACAUUACCUAGUGAAGAAACUGGGUAAGCUGAAGCCUAAAUUCAUAAGGCCAAAAAACCUCAUUAAUUAUCCUUAACCCAAAUAUGGAGAGUAAUUGAAUUACCAAAACCACUGAAUAUACAGCAAGUAUCCAAGACUGACCUGACAAUCCACAUAUCUUGUGCAAUCAAGGCCAAAUCAGAAACAUCCAAACAAUGAAAACAAUAACAUCAAAUUCAUUCAAUGGACGGACGUAAAUUUUCAUUUAAUGUGAGAAAUGUAGAUGAUCGAUUGCUAUUCACAUAUCACUAAACAAAAAACCUAACUAGAAACUAGUUCCCCUACAUCUAGAUGAGAGAGGCGUGCUUUUAGGGUUUUGGGAAUUUGGUCUGUUCUACCCAGAUUUAGGUUUGUCAGUACAAAAAUUUAAAGAUAUGUUCUGAGAGAGUAAUGGUAUGCAUACCUUGAAGGCUGCUAGAACAGAGAAGGAAGGGAGCAGCGACUGCGGCAGCGAAGCACAGUGGAGUAGCGGUAGGAAAGGUGAGUGGUAAAGAGAGAAGAGAGGGAAGUGGAGCAGCGGUAAGAAAGGUGCCCUGUACUUGCAG
rnacentral:lncRNA from 1 species